AUGGGGGAACACGGCAGACAGCAAGUAACGAUGACAGUAGACAUGGAUGGAUGGAUGGACGGACGACGGACGCGGCGGCCAGCGACGAGGCAGCUAGUAAAAGCUACUCUAGUUCUUGAGAAGGUAGUCGUCAAGGUCGUGGAGGGUCUUGGCGGCGUCCAUGGUCCAGUUCACCACCGCGCCGCCGCCGUCGGCGCCCUUGUCGGUCACCUGCACCGUCACCCUGAAGUUCUUGUAGAAGCUGACCAGCUCGCCGUCCACCACGCUGUACGACACCACCUUCUUCUCGUCGUCCGCCACCUCCACCUUCUCCUUGGCGAACGUCACCAUCGGAACCCCUGA
rnacentral:rRNA from 1 species